rnacentral:lncRNA from 1 species
AGAGGCAUACUGCAUUCUUACAUUCUGGAGAUAAAAGAAGAUAUCCUGGCUGCCAGCAAAGUGGGAGAUGAUGAUAAAUAGAACGAGUGGACCAUAUCUUACAACUAGAGCCAAAUUUCUCAUGCUCGCAGAUGGCAAAACCAGUUAACUCCCCUUCUGGAAUUAAACCUUAACGAGGCUUAUUUCUUUCUGGGCCUACCAUGGAUAUCAUUUACACUGGAUGCCCUUGGAAUCUGUUUACAUUUCGGCCAUCCUCAUACCUUUGUGUGUCUACUGGAGGCUGCCCCUGGGAUAGUGGAGGAACUCUGUGUUACACAGUGGAAUGCAAGUGCUUGGGAGUUGAUGACCUACUAGAUCAAGCUGUAGCCAAUGAUGGAAAAGCAGUGAUAAAAUUGCAAAUGUGCAUCAGCGUUCCCUCUCACACAUUAACUGAAUAUGGAGCCAGGAACAGCAGUAAAGUAAACAAAGAAUUGAACAAAACUGACUUGUGUGGGGGAGCAUUUGUGAUUCUGUCUCAACGUGCUUCUCUAAGCAGAUGAUCUCAGGCCUCACGUGGGGCCAAUGAAAUUUCAUGAUCAGAAAUGGGGUGACAGACUUCUUAAGACCCUUAACCUUUAAAAGAGAUUUUAAAUUAUGAUAAUUAAGACAGCAUCAAAUAUAAUGUACAGUCUUGCGACUAUUUUGUUCUGUUUUACGAAAGAAACAACUAAACAAACAAAACCACUUCUUGUUGUCAAGGUCCUUCGACUGCUUGCAAUCCAGGAGGGGGAAAGUUUAUAAAAUAAGGCAGCUAAAAUAACACUGCAUGAGAGUCUGUAAUCAGAUUCACAUGGUCCCUGUUGCAGACAUUUAGAGAAGUACAUAACUAUUCUGUGGAGAAGUUAUCAGGAAAAGCCUUACUAAAAAUUGAUAUUGGUAUUGAGUCUUGAAAGUCAUAGCACUGAUGCGAUGCAAGGUCAAGAUUCCCAAGUUGCAGUUCAUGGAUAAGUGCAGAAUGAGCAUGCUCGGUGUGCACUGAGAAGAGAAGGAAACAUUAAGGGGAGCUCUUUGGCUAGAGCCAGAGAUACAGAUGCAGGAAGCGUGUCUAAUGGGGUUUUACGUAGUUGGAAUGGCAAGGUGAAGUCAGAUAAUGGAAAAUCUCAAAUGCUGGGCUGAGGAGUUCGGACUUGAUUAGAAAGGCCACAACGAAACAGUAUAAUUUUUUAAGCAAGUACAUGGCAUGAUAUUAGAGGUUUUAUAAAGAUUAACUUAGCUUUGGUAUAUCAGAGAGUUUAUUGUAGGGUUUAGUAUAGCAAAAAAAAGUUUAUUACUGAAAAUUGGAUGGAAAGUGCAAUUCCAUAUGAAGAAAUGACAAGGUAGGGAUAAACACAAGAGACCAACAAAAGAAAGAGAUGCCAGAAUUUGAUAAUUGAUUAUUGGGCGUAGAGUAGAGAAAAGAGUAGAAGAGGAGUCUAAGGUUUAAGUUUUUGAGUACUUUGGAAAAUAUGGUGGGGGAGAAUGGAGCUGCACAUAAAGAAAGCUUAUUCAGAUGGGAAUGUGCCUUAAUCUGAUUUUUAGAUAUUUGGGUUUAAAGCAGAAUGUUCUGGUAGAAAUGUCCUGUUGGCAUUUUAUUUCCUGGAAAUCAAUACUGAACUCAAGCUUGACUGAAAAAUUAGUAUCGAAGAUACAAAAUUUAUGUUAAGGUAGAGAUGAGAAUUUAAGCUCUGGAUAGAAGGGGAUACAUUCCUAAGAAUAGGAAGACAGAGAGAAAAUGGCUGAAGAUGGAAAUGAAGCCCUAUUAACAGCCCACUUGAGUUACGCUUAGAGAUACCAUUACAUCUGAAUAGUCUUUGGAGGUUACAGGUGACUUCAGCAAAAGACAUAGCCUAUUUUGUUAGUUUAACACUACACCUCUUUGCUAGGGCAGAAUUGGCUCAUUCCUUCUUUGGGGAACAUGGGGGGGAGACAGGUGGCACAUCACUAUUUACUCCUUCUCACCACCUCAUCGUCAUUCUCUGUUCUCUGCACAGUUGGAUCUGGAAUGAGUUCUCCUUGUAGUCACAUGUCAGGAAUUGAGAUCCUUCUGUCUUGGGGUAGUAUGUGACUUCAGUGGACAAACUCACCAUCUUUUGUUUUUUGCUUUUUUUUUAAAAAAUCUGAUGACUAAAGAUUAGCACCCAUGCUUCUGCUUCACAGAGACCUAGUGAGGACAAAUGAGAAAAACUCAGGAGGCCCAGGGGAUGCCUAUCUAUGGAUAGUUCACAGUACACUUAGGCAGCUUACUGUCUUAGUUCCAGUAAAAACAGCCUGUUGGGGAAAGGUUAAAGUCUAUGGAAUCUGGUUUUAAUACAGCAUGACUCGAUGUUGCAAAGGAAUAUGAUUUUGAAAGCAUCUCUAAGACCCAGAUGUUUUAUGAAUAUGAUGAUGAUAAUAAAGCCAAUAAUUAUAAAUAAAAAUUUUAUGUU